rnacentral:sRNA from 1 species
UAAAAACCUAAGUAUUGAAUCUUUGUUAGAAGAUACAAAGACAAAGAAUCAUACGGACUUUGAAUACACUAUCAAAGCUUUGAGAAGCAAGAAGAAGCUUGGUUAGUGUUUUGGAUUCAAAUAUGACUUGAUGUCAUGUGUAUGACUCUGUAAAAAAACUAGAACCGCAACAUAUCUUAAAAGCAUAAGUAUUGUAUCAUUGUUAGAAGAUACAAUGACGAAGACUCAUAUGGACUUCGACUACACCAUCAAAGAUUUGAGAAGCAAGAAGCAGCUUGGUUAGAGUUUUGGAGCCAAAUAUGACU